rnacentral:rRNA from 1 species
CCCUUAGAUGUCCGGGGCUGCACGCGCGCUACACUGAAGGAAUCAGCGUGCUAAAACCAUUGUCGAAAGGCAUUGGUAAACCCAUUAAAAUCCUACGUGAUUGGGAUCGGGAAUUGCAAUUAUUUCCCUUGAACGAGGAAUUCCCAGUAAGUGUGGGUCAUAAGCUCACGUUGAUUACGUCCCUGCCCUUUGUACACACCGCCCGUCGCUGCCCGGGACUGAGCCGUUUCGAGAAAAGCGGGGACUGCUGCUGUCGGGGCUUUCGGGCCUUGGCUUCGGUGGAAACCGCUUUAAUCGCAGUGGCUUGAACCGGGCAAAAGUCGUAACA